GUCUUUUUGAGUAUAAUUUAAAGUCUGACCUGCCCACUGAUUAAUUAAAUGGCCGCGGUAUUUUGACCGUGCAAAGGUAGCAUAAUCAUUAGUUUUUUAAUUGAAAGCUGGAAUGAAUGGUUGAAUAAGAAAAUAACUGUCUCAAUUUAAUUUUAUUAGAAUUUUAUUUUUAAGUUAAAAAGCUUAAAUUAAAUUAAAAGACGAGAAGACCCUAUAGAGUUUAAUAUUAAAGUUAUUAAUUUUAUAAGAAUAUAUUUAUUUAAUAAUAUAUAAUAUUUGAUUGGGGUGAUUGAAAAAUUAAAUUAACUUUUUUUUUAUUUUUACAUUAAUUUAUGAAUUUUUGAUCCAUUUUAUUAUGAUUAAAAGAUAAAAUUACCUUAGGGAUAACAGCGUAAUUUUUUUUAAGAGUUCAAAUCGAAAAAAGAGAUUGCGACCUCGAUGUUGGAUUAAAGUUAGUAUUUGGUGUAGAAGCUAAAAUACUAGGUCUGUUCGACCUUUAAAUCUUUACA
rnacentral:rRNA from 1 species